UACGGAGGGGGCUAGCGUUGUCCGGAUUUACUGGGCGUAAAGAGCGCGUAGGCGGCUCGUUAAGUGUGAAGUGAAAUCUCCAGGGCUCAACCCGGAAACUGCUUUACAUACUGGCGAGCUGGAGUGAUGAAGAGGUUUGUGGAAUUCCUGGUGUAGCGGUGAAAUGCGUUGAUAUCAGGAGGAACACCCAUGGCGAAGGCAGCAAACUGGUCAUCAACUGACGCUGAGGCGCGAAAGCGUGGGUAGCAAACAGG
rnacentral:rRNA from 1 species